CUACGGGAGGCUGCAGUGGGGAAUAUUGGGCAAUGGGCGCAAGCCUGACCCAGCAACGCCGCGUGAGGGAAGAAGGUUUUCGGAUUGUAAACCUCUGUCCCCCCUGACGAAACAAAUGACGGUAAGGGGGGAGGAAGCUCCGGCUAACUACGUGCCAGCAGCCGCGGUAAUACGUAGGGAGCGAGCGUUGUCCGGAAUUACUGGGCGUAAAGGGUGCGUAGGCGGCAUAUUAAGUCAGGUGUGAAAUUUUCGGGCUCAACCCGGAACCUGCAUUUGAAACUGAUAAGCUUGAGUGUGAGAGAGGUAAGUGGAAUUCCUAGUGUAGCGGUGACAUGCGUAGAUAUUAGGAGGAACACCAGUGGCGAAGGCGACUUACUGGCUCAUAACUGACGCUGAGGCACGAAAGCGUGGGGAGCAAACAGGAUUAGAUACCCGCGUAGUC
rnacentral:rRNA from 1 species